UGGGGAAUCUUGCACAAUGGGGGAAACCCUGACGCAGCGACGCCGCGUGAGCGAUGAAGCCCUUCGGGGUGUAAAGCUCUUUCGGCAGGGAAGAUAAUGACGGUACCUGCAGAAGCAGCUGCGGCUAACUACGUGCCAGCAGCCGCGGUAAUACGUAGGCAGCGAGCGUUGUUCGGAGUUACUGGGCGUAAGGGCGCGUAGGUGGGUCAUCAAGUCAAAUGUGAAAACCAGCGGCUCAACCGUUGGCCUGCAUUUGAUACUGUUGAUCUUGAGUACGGGAGAGGAAAGCGGAAUUCCUGGUGUAGCGGUGAAAUGCGUAGAUAUCAGGAGGAACACCGGUGGCGAAGGCGGCUUUCUGGCCCGAUACUGACACUGAGGCGCGAAGGCCGGGGGAGCAAACA
rnacentral:rRNA from 1 species